AGACCGGUCUACUGGUCGUGCUUUUGUACGUACUGGUUUUAUCGGUUUCUCCUUUCUGACGAACCAUAAUGCCAUUAAUUUGGUGUUAUGGGAAAUCAGGACUGUUACUUUGAAAAAAUUAGAGUGUUUAAAGCAGGCUCACGCUUGAAUACAUUAGCAUGGAAUAACGGAAUAGGACGUUUGAUUCUAUUUUGUUGGUUUCUAGGAUCGACGUAAUGAUUAAUAGGGAUAGUUG
rnacentral:rRNA from 1 species